rnacentral:lncRNA from 1 species
UGAGAAUAAUUAAGAUGGGAGACCCAUCAUAACUGGAUGAUACCAUUUCAUGAAAAAGGGUAGUCUGAGGUCUUAGAAUGAAUUAAAAGGAAUUCAUUCCUUUGCCUUAACAAUGAAAAUGUAAUGAAUGAAGAAAGUGAAUGAAGGGACAGACAAGUAAACUGGAGUAUGAAUUCCUUGUGAGUGUGCAGUAUAAGCUCUUAGAGUUCAUGUUCAUGAAUUUAAGCUGGAUUCAACAGCACUGGAUUCAACUACACUGCUUUUCUUCAGAUACAUCCUGCAGCAUUGUAAGUAUAGAACAGCACCCUGAUCUACUUAAGGCUAUGUGCAACUCAAAGGACAUAUCUACAAGUGGUGAAUUCAGCUUUACAUAUAUCUGUUUAAACUAUUGAGUGCACACCUGAUGAGAGCUGUGACUGUUUUAAAUCAUGACCUUUUCAUGUUCCCGAGGCUGCUAGGCUGCUUUUGGAUACUUCACUUGGAAGUUCACCCAUAUGGUCAACAAUAAAUGUAUAGUUUCCUGAUGAGAAGGCAACAGUUGAAGGUCAUAGGUCUGCAUCUAUUUCCUAUUGAACAGCUUUGCUGGUCACAAAAGCACAGACCUCAGUUCUAUUGUUCUCAUCAUAACUCAAGUCACCACUUUCUCUUCAAAAGAUGUAAACCCAAGACUAUGGUGUUCUCCCCCAAACUCUGAACUUCACCAAGAAAUCAACUUUUGGGUUUUUGUUCCUUUGUUUUUUUCCUGGAUACUGGUUCUGAGUAUUCAGCUACGACAGGGAUUCACAAACAUCAUGGAUGGUUUUGUGGAAGACAGAGUAUAUCUGUAAUGUAUUCCUUAUAUUUCAGCCUUUAGCUGAAAUUAAGAUAUCUGUAAUACUCAGAGAAGUCCAUAGCAUGCCUCCUUCCUGCCCAAUAUAAGCAACCCCCCCCAUGAUGUAUUUAUAAUACACAAACUGGAGAGUUAGACCCCAUUGCUCUGAUAUAUUGAGAAGCAAGGUUUGUUUAUGAUACGAUAUUCCUGUUUAAGAUUUAAUAAAGACCACUAUCUGUUUUGUAUUGUCA